rnacentral:rRNA from 1 species
GAUGAACGCUAGCGGCAGGCUUAAUACAUGCAAGUCGAGGGGCAUCAAGGUACACGAAAGUGUAUUGUUGGCGACCGGCGGACGGGUGAGUAAUAGGUAGGUAACCUACCUCAUACUGAGGCAUAGCUGGGAGAAAUUCCAGGUAAUUCCUCAUGAGGUUAUAUGACACAUGUGAUAUAAUCAAAGGUAUCGCAAGGUACUGGUAUGAGAUGGGCUUACUGACCAUUAGCUAGUUGGUGAGAUAAGAGCUCACCAAGGCGAAGAUGGUUAGGGGUUUGAGAGAGAGAUCCCCCACAUUGGAACUGAGAUACGGUCCAGACUCCUACGGGAGCAGCAGUAGGGAAUAUUGGGCAAUGGCGGAAGCCUGACCCAGCCAUGCCGCGUGAAGGAAGACGGCCUUAUGGGUUGUAAACUUCUUUACUAUGCGACUAACUAGAUUUACGAGAUAAUUCUAUAGAAUGUAGCAUAGCAAAAAGCACC